rnacentral:rRNA from 1 species
UACGAAGGGGGCUAGCGUUGCUCGGAAUUACUGGGCGUAAAGCGCACGUAGGCGGUCUUUUAAGUCGGGGGUGAAAUCCUGGAGCUCAACUCCAGAACUGCCUUCGAUACUGGAAGACUCGAGUCCGGGAGAGGUGGAGUGGAACUGGCGAGUGUAGAGGUGAAAUUCGUAGAUAUUCGCAAGAACACCAGUGGCGAAGGCGGACUCGACUGGC